CCUGGUCGUUCAGUGGUCUAGGAUGACGGCCUGUCACGUCGUCGACGCGGGUUCGAAUCCCGCCCAAAGGA
rnacentral:tRNA from 1 species